AUGGUCAAGCUAAGAAGGGCACAGGGCGAAUGCCUUGGCACCAGGAGCCGAAGAAAGACGUGAUAAGCUGCGAAAAGUUACGGGGAGCCGCAAAUAGGCCUUGAUCCGUAAAUGUCUGAAUGGAGCAAUCCGGCAGGAGUAGAGACCUGUCAUCAUAUACUGAAUACAUAGGUAUAUGAGGGGAACCGCCUGAACUGAAACAUCUAAGUAGGGCGAGGAAGAGAAAUCAACCGAGAUUCCGCAAGUAGUGGCGAGCGAACGCGGAAGAGGCCAAACCACAGGGAGCAAUCUUUGUGGGGUUACGGACUGCAGAAAGCAUAGCAGAACUCUAGCUGAACUGAAUGGGAAGUCAGACCGAAGAGCGUGAGAGUCGCGUAAGCGAAAGAGAGAAGCAGCGGGCAGUAUCCAGAGUACCGCGGGACACGUGAAACCCCGUGGGAAGUCGGGGGGACCACCCUCCAAGCCUAAAUACUCCCUGGUGACCGAUAGAGAAUAGUACUGUGAAGGAAAGGUGAAAAGCACCCCGGGAGGGGAGUGAAAAAGUACCUGAAACCCUGCGCCUACAAGCACAUAGAGCGCGUCAAAGCGUGAUAUGGUACCUUUUGUAGAAUGGUCCGGCGAGCGUAUGUAUCUAGCAAGGUUAAGUUCUUCAGGAACGGAGCCAAAGGGAAACCGAGUCUGAAAAGGGCGAAGAGUUAGAUGCAUAGGGCCCGAAACCGGGUGACCUAUCCAUGUCCAGGUUGAAGUGAGAGUAAAAUCUCAUGGAGGACCGAACCAACCGUCGUUGAAAAGCCGGUGGAUGAGGUGUGGAUAGCGGUGAAAUUCCAAUCGAACCCGGAGAUAGCUGGUUCUCCCCGAAAUAGCUUUAGGGCUAGCGUUGUAUUAGAUUACCGGAGGUAAAGCACUGAAUAGGCUAGGGGCCGAGAGGUUACUGAACCUUAUCAAACUAAGAAUGCCGGCUAAUUGAUGUACAGCAGUCAGACUACGUGAGAUAAGUCUCGUGGUCAAAAGGGAAAAAGCCCAGACCCACAGCUAAGGUCCCAAAGAUGGUUUAAGUGGAAAAGGAUGUGGAAUUGCUAAGACAACCAGGAUGUUGGCUUAGAAGCAGCCACUCAUUAAAAGAGUGCGUAAUAGCUCACUGGUCGAGUGACUCUGCGCCGAAAAUGUAACGGGGCUAAAACCAACACCGAAGCUUGGGAUACGUAAAACGUAUGGUAGGGGAGCGUCGUAUGCGGGGUGAAGUACGAGCGAAAGCGCGUGUGGACUGCAUACGAGUGAGAAUGCCGGAAUGAGUAGCGAGAAUUAUGUGAGAAUCAUAAUGGCCGAAAGUCUAAGGUUUUUGGAGGAAGGUUCGUCCGCUCCAAGUAAGCCGGGAGCUAAGGCGAGGCCGAGAGGCGUAGCCGAUGCACAUACGGUAGAAAUUCCGUAGCUGUCAAAAUAUUUAAGCAGAGGGACACUCUGAAAGGGUAUGACCCAGGCGUUGGUAGACCUGGGCGUAAGGGACCGAAACAUAGUAGGGAAGCAUACCUGGCAGGAGGCGAGAAAAGCUCUGUGAAUAUAUGAGACACCCGUACCGCAAACCGACACAGGUAGAUAGGAUGAGAAUUCUAAGGCCAACGAGAGAAGGGUUGUUAAGGAACUCGGCAAGUUGACCCCGUAACUUAGGGAGAAGGGGUGCUCUGGAGACAGAGCCGCAGAGAAAAGGUCCAGGCGACUGUUUAGCAAAAACACAGCUCUAUGCUAAAUCGAAAGAUGACGUAUAUGGGGUGACACCUGCCCGGUGCUGGAAGGUUAAGAGGAGAUGUGCAAGCAUUGAAUUGAAGCCCCAGUAAACGGCGGCCGUAACUAUAACGGUCCUAAGGUAGCGAAAUUCCUUGUCAGGUAAGUUCUGACCCGCACGAAUGGUGUAACGAUCUGGAUACUGUCUCAACAGCCCGCUCGGCGAAAUUGUAGUACCGGUGAAGAUGCCGGUUACCCGCGACAAGACGGAAAGACCCCAUGGAGCUUCACUGUAGCUUAAUAUUGGAUUUCGGUAUUUCAUGUACAGGAUAGGUGGGAGACUGAGAAGCCAGGACGCCAGUCUUGGUGGAGUCGACGUUGGGAUACCACUCUUGAGGUGCUGGAAUUCUAACCUGCGGCCAUGAAACUGGCCGGGGGACAGUGUUAGGUGGGCAGUUUGACUGGGGCGGUCGCCUCCAAAAAGGUAACGGAGGCGCUCAAAGGUUGGCUCAGCAUGGCCGGAAACCAUGCUUUAGAGUGUAAACGCGUAAGCCAGCCUAACUGCGAGAGAGACAUUUCGAGCAGUAACGAAAGUUGGAGUUAGUGAUCCGGUGGUAUGUGAGUGGAAAUGCCAUCGCUCAACGGAUAAAAGCUACCCUGGGGAUAACAGGCUGAUCUCCCCCAAGAGUCCACAUCGUCGGGGAGGUUUGGCACCUCGAUGUCGGCUCAUCGCAUCCUGGGGCUGAAUUCGGUCCCAAGGGUUUGGCUGUUCGCCAAUUAAAGCGGUACGCGAGCUGGGUUCAGAACGUCGUGAGACAGUUCGGUCCCUAUCUGUCGUGGGCGCAGGAUAUUUGAGAGGAGCUGUCCCUAGUACGAGAGGACCGGGAUGGACAUACCUCUGGUGCACCAGUUGUCGUGCCAACGGCAUAGCUGGGCAGCUAUGUAUGGAUUGGAUAAACGCUGAAGGCAUCUAAGCGUGAAGCCAACCUCAAGAUAAGAUAUCCCACUGGAAAACCAGGUAAGACCCCUUGAAGACUACGAGGUUGAUAGGUCUGAAGUGUACGCAUCGUGAGGUGUUUAGCUUGCAGAUACUAAUCGGUCGAGGGCUUGACCAAG
rnacentral:rRNA from 1 species